rnacentral:rRNA from 1 species
AAGAGACAGCAGUAGCCACGGUAAUACAGAGGGUGCGAGCGUUAACCGGAUUUACUGGGCGUAAAGCGUGCGUAGGCGGCUUCUUAAGUCGGAUGUGAAAUCCCUGAGCUUAACUUAGGAAUUGCAUUCGAUACUGGGAAGCUAGAGUAUGGGAGAGGAUGGUAGAAUUCCAGGUGUAGCGGUGAAAUGCGUAGAGAUCUGGAGGAAUACCGAUGGCGAAGGCAGCCAUCUGGCCUAAUACUGACGCUGAGGUACGAAAGCAUGGGGAGCAAACAGGAUUAGAUACCCCUGUAGUCCCUGUCUCUUAUAC